AAGACUAUAGACCUGCGGAGUACCUGCGGAGGGAUCAUUCACAAUAAGUGUUUUAUGGCACUUUAAUUCCAUAUCCACCUUGUGUGCAACGUAGUUCGUUUUUCGAACAAAACAUCAACAUUUUAAUUAUCAACAGAUCGUCUGAAGUAUUAUAUGAAUAAAUCAAUUCAAAAUACAACUUUCAGCAAUGGAUCUCU
rnacentral:misc_RNA from 1 species